UACGGAGGGUGCAAGCGUUGUUCGGAAUUACUGGGCGUAAAGGGCGCGUAGGCGGCCUGCUAAGUCGGAUGUGAAAUCCCUCGGCUCAACCGAGGAACUGCAUCCGAUACUGGCGGGCUUGAAUCCGGGAGAGGGAUGUGGAAUUCCAGGUGUAGCGGUGAAAUGCGUAGAUAUCUGGAGGAACACCGGUGGCGAAGGCGGCAUCCUGGACCGGUAUUGACGCUGAGGCGCGAAAGCUAGGGGAGCAAACGGG
rnacentral:rRNA from 1 species